GUACAGUAGCCAAUGAGGGACGGCUUCCACACACCAAUGGCCGCCCUCCUUACAUCCCCACUCCAGGAACUGCCUUGGCAGGGGCAGACUGUUUUUCUUGCAUGGGUACUUUUUUUUUCUUUUGCAAACUAACCCAGAGGAAAUACAGCGCACGGAUCUAUAGGCAUUUACCUUUACAUUAACGCCCUUCCUGCAUAGAUUGGAGAACAUAUAUAUUUUUUACACACCCUGCAUUUUUAAAAAAAGAAAGAAAAAGUCUAGAUAAGAAUUGUGUUCAAGCUGCUCAAGCUGGAUAAAUAUGCAGUCUGUCCACACUUAAACCUGGAACAGGUCUAACAAUACACUUGGAGAGAUGGUUCUUCACAUUUUUGAAUACAGUUUAACAAAGAAUCUAAUCUCGGGGCUCAUUGAAAGUAAUUUGUACAUUGUGUGUAGUUCCAGCCACUGACCGAAUGGUAAGCCAAAGAUGUCCAUGGGACCUCCCAGUGGUCGGUGGUGGCACGUAGGUCCGACAUGCUACACAACUAGUCAGCGGUAAAACAGUAGGUGCUACAUAGCCUACUCAGAAAGAU